rnacentral:tRNA from 1 species
GAGGGUAUAGCUCAAGUGGUAGAGCACAUGCUUAACAUGCAUGAGGUCCUGGGUUCAAUCCCCAGCACCUCCU